UGAUCGUGAUCUGAAUGAAAGGAGGAAUACUGGCCAACUCUUAUGACCGCCGAUCCGGGUGCGUUUCAUCGACGUCCUAUACAACAAGAUCGGGAACCAUCGGUCUAUGAGAUAGUGCCAUAGAUAGUGAAGCCGACGAUGUUGUUGCCGACGAACAGAUUGCUCAGAUUUUUGAAGCUGAUCGCAUAGGUGCAAAGAAAGGAUUUUUAAUGACGG